rnacentral:rRNA from 1 species
AAUGCGAUACGUAGUGUGAAUUGCAGAAUUCCGCGAAUCAUCGAGUCUUUGAACGCAAGUUGCGCCCGAGGCUUGUCCGAGGGCAUUUCCGCUAGAGCGUCACCGCGCCCCCCACCGAUCCGCUCCCGCCGCGAGGCGCCAGAGUCGGGUCGAGUGCAAGUGGCCGUCCCGGCGAAGUGGCCUUCUUUCACGAGGAGGCCGUCCUUGGAAGGGUCGGCUGAAAUGGAUGGAAUUGGGCCGCCGUGGUGACACAGUCCGCGAUCGGGUGAUUUUGUCGCGAGCCUCCCGCCUGCGGGAGGCUCUUGGUGAAUUUUUCUAAGUGCUUGGCUGCGUCCCCCAGUUGGCUCGGGCUACCUCAUGCAGGUCGAGCGCGCCCCCGCGGCGCGCGUCACGCAUCAGACCUCUAAUCGGAAAAGACUACCCGCUGAGUUUAAGCAUAUCAAUAAGCGGAGGA